rnacentral:misc_RNA from 1 species
CUAAGGAAUAUUACGGAAUACACACGUUCGUUUCCACUUUGUUCAGUUUUGAGAGGUUUACUCUCAAAUAAUUUGUUCAUUGAAAACUGGAUAUUGAAGUAAAGAAAUCAAAACAAACCGAGAACACCGCGUUGAAUGAGUUUUUUAAUACGUUCAAUUGCUUAUUUUUCUUAAUCAUCUUCUAUCGCUAGAAGACAAUGAUUAAAACCCAACCGUAAGGUUGAUAA